CCGGGCCGGGAGAGGCGACGGUGCCCGCGGCGGGAGGGGCUCGGGGCGUGCCCGGCACGGGGCUGAGAGAGAUGCGCUCCUUCGGGUCUUCUGCCGUGAGACCGCUGUAGUGCGCGGCGGCGAGCAGCUGAAUGAAUGGAUGCACAAAGCAAACCCUGUGACAGGCUUGAAUUUCAUCUGAAACGGAUCUGAUGUUCACACUUGCUCUACACCGACGCAAACAGCCCUGACUCAUUAUUGCUCCUUGUGUCGUAUCACAGCAACAGUGGGAUGAAUCCAGGUUUGGAACACUGAAUUCCAGUGCUGCUUCUGAGGGGCCACAGAAGGGAUGUGAGAAAUUGGAGAAAUGUCUUGCGGCAAAGGACAUGAUGUAAUUUAGCUGGUUGAUGAAAAAUACCAUUAAAACUAGAUUUGAUGGCAUUUACUACCCUCAGAGAUAGAAAAUUACAGCAAGAAGUGGGCCUGCCAGCUACAGGCUGCAGCGGUUAAGGUUCAUCAGAAAGCUAACAGUGACAGAGAGGCAACAGCGAUGGGAUGGAGAUUUGGAACUAUGAACCAGACCCGAGUUAGUAACAAUCAUUCAGAGCCAAAAUGGAGGUUUCACUGGGACGUUUCUAUAAAAAUGAAUGUUUAAAACCCCCUUUAAAAUUACCUUCAAACACUCAAUUACACUUCAAACAUGGGGUACCUAAAAAAAGUGACAUAAGUGACGCGUUAUUAUAUGUCACAACUUUGUACCAAAUUGCUGGGGCUGAGCUCCUAUAGCUGGAGAGACAGUACUUCAUAAUAACUUGAACAAGAGCUUAAGCAUUUGGCUGGCUCACAGUGGUCAGUUUGUAACUGCAUUUGCACAGACACAAAGGUGAGCUAAGAAUCAAUGAACAGAAUCACAGGAACAGAGACAUUCCGUAGCACUGAAAGCUCCUUGUAUUUUUAGGCUGGGAGUUCAGCAGGAAUAAAGCUAAGUACAGCUGCAAGACGAGUGGGAGCUGACAAAGCAAAGAGGAUAAGGGCAGUCUUUGAAACCUGAUUAAAGAGGUUGCUUCCACCACAGAGAGCUCAGGCCAGCAAUUUAACAAGUCGGUCCAAUAAUAUCAGAAUUCUGCUUCAAUUACUAUUGGAUUCAAGUGGCAGAUGCUAAUUAGGAUUUCGGUUUCUGAAAGCUAUGGCUUAACUUUAAAAUGCAUUUAUGUCCAAAGUAGCUACACGGAAUGGACCCAUGUCAUCAACCCCUACAGAACAGAUCUACAAGGUGCUGUUUCCAUUUCUUACUGCUGUUUCUGUGUAACCUGUAAAACAUUCAGGCUUUAUCAGAAACUGUGUUUCUUCCUUAGAGAAAUAAACAAAGCAAGACACUGCAUCCCAAAUGUUUUCGGUCAGUUUUGUAUUAAAAACAUAUGAAAGGUGUAAUAUACAUCUUAAACCAAACCACGUUUAUUUCAUCAGUCACAAGUGCAAAUACAGCAAACAAGUCAGUUCAGCAAAUUACAACACUGAAAGGAAUGUCAUGUAAAUGCUAAGUACACUGACGGAGCAACUUCAAAGAGCAGCAAAAAGAAAGUUUGUUCAAAUGAAAACUUCUAUUCUUUUUAUCUGUACCCUAAAAUAACAUCAUAAAUCUAGACCAGGAAUGUCUCCGCUAACUCAUGUUUAGCCAGGUAUUCUGAGAUUAACAGCUCGCGUUAUCCAGUGUGCAAAAGUCCUGCCUGUCCAAGCUUUUUAUUAACAGAUUUGUUUUGGUUUUAAGCAAUUCUUACCCGAUAUUUUAAUUACUGUGCUGAUACCAAUUAGUACGUUCUGCUAUUUGAUAUUACAAAUUGAAGAGUGUAAGGUUUUAAGAAGUAUAUCCAAUCUCGGUGAAUGUACACAAUCCCACCUGGAUCAAAAGCAGGCAAUGUUAAAGAUAAAACUGAAUAAUUUUUUGCAAAAAAAAA